GUGACCGAUUGUAGUCUUAAAGUAAAGCAGACCAAUUGAAUUCCACGUAAAGUUUUAACUUGACAUUGAUUUCAUUGAAGGGUUUUGGAGAUCAGUUAGCUUUGGCGACAAUCUUCACACCUUGAUCAUGGGAUGCUUGCUAGCCCUACUGUGCUGCUCUGCUUGCUGUGACGCUAUGACGAGCAAUAGGGUUGAUGUUUUGGAGACCGACGAUGGAGAAGUUUACUAUGUCGAGAGGGGCUUCCUCAACGACACCGUCACCAGGGUGGUAUGACCCUGAAGGACGCGAUGAGGAUACGGACGGCACAUUCUCUGCUUAUCAACACUACUGUAAUAGGGAACGUAUCUUUAGCAUCUAUCUUACAUUCAGUGAACAUCGUUUUCCUGAUGAUGACCAAACGCCCAUGAGCAGAUGUACGAACUCUCCGUUCUUCAUUGACGAACCAAUCUUAUCUUUAUUCCAGACUUAGUGCGUAUCAGACAACUUGGACAUUUUCAUCUCCAAGAGAACGUAAUGGACAUUUAUUAUCAGCAAGUAUCGCUAAUUUUGGUUACAUGAGGAAUGAAAAUAUGCGAUGUCUGAUUCUUAUGAUAAACAUUUAUUUUUGAUCCCAUUAUGAAAUGUGAAAUGUUGUUAUUGCUCUGUUCAGUGCCGACCAUCAGUAGCUAUCCUUUAAAAAACCCAGGAACUUGGCCUACCACAGAUGUACAAUUAUGUUCUGUCUCUAACUGUGACAAUAAGUAGGCCUAUUCCCAGGGGCUAAGUUUACUUUAAUAGUUUACCAGAUUUAUCAUGGUGAGAUUCUUCUUUGUGAGAACCAGGAAGUUUGGAAGCUUUUCAUAAAAUGUAAGUCAAACUUGAUCAUCUGAAGUCCUAAAAUAGAAAAGAGCAACGUUUUAUAAACAGACACAUAUUUCAGUGAUCUUUUCACUCGUGUUAAUUCAUCAUUUCAAAAAGGAAAUAUCAACGUUUACCACUUGGCGACCAUGCGAAUGUAUAUGGAGUAUGCUGUAAUCUUGUCAGAGACACAAUACAUUUGUGUUGGCCUUCCUGUCAAAACAAUUUCACUGAAUGCCGAAGUAAUCCAAAUGGAUGACACUCAGUUGUAAGCUUGCAUGUACUGAGGAACAAGUGCUUGGCCGUCAUUUGAAAAAAAUAAAAUUUGCGUUACUAGAUGCCUAUUUUUGUAA